rnacentral:rRNA from 1 species
UUUAACUGAAGAGUUUGAUCAUGGCUCAGAUUGAACGCUGGCGGCAGGCUUAACACAUGCAAGUCGAGCGGUUGAAGAUAGCUUGCUAUCGGAUACAGCGGCGGACGGGUGAGUAAUACUUAGGAAUCUGCCUAUUAGUGGGGGACAACGUUUCGAAAGGAGCGCUAAUACCGCAUACGCCCUAC